AUAUAUAUAUAUAUAUAUAUAUAUAUAUAUAUAUAUAUAUACAUACGUACUCUGUAUAUAAAACGACAUAUGUUUACAUGUACAUAGUUGCAUGUAUAUUUUAUAUUAGCACAUAAAUCUAUCAGUGUAUACGUUUUUAAACAGUUAAAUGUUCACAUAUAACAUUAACUUAAAUUUAUUUAUAUAAUAUACAUAUUUUCGCAUAUAUAUAUAUAUAUAUAUAUAUAUAUAUACACUAAUUUAUAUUUAAAAAUGGGAAGUGAAAAAAGGUCUAAUGAUACACAAAACAGCGAUAAUGAAACUGAGUUCCCCAAUUCAAAAGUGUUGUUAAUUUCAGUAAAAAGAACAAGAAGAUUUUUAGAAAGAACAGCAAGAGAAUUAUUAGCAGGUGGAACUAAAUACAUUAUUCUUAGUAGCUUAGGUGAUGCUUUACCUUUAUGUGUACAAUUACAGUCUUCAUUACAAUCAAAGAAUGCAGCCUUUGUUGUAAAAAUUAAAACAUCUUAUAGCUAUUUCAAUAUGUAUGGUUCAUAUACACCUGGUUUAAAAAUUUAUAUGGAAAAACACCCAGAUUUCAAAGGUUCUAGAAUAUCACCAGGGUAUGUUUCAUUUCAAGAAAAUACUGAAAGCUUUACGCCACUAUUUGACGAAAAUCCUACUGAAUACUUAUGUUCCUUAAAUGCAGGGGAUAGUAAAUUAUAUGUUGGAGGUAAGGGUAUUAAUGGUGCUUUUUCUGAACUUUUGGCAGCAAACGGUCAAGAUGUUGAAAAAUAUGAAGUCUUAUUUAAGGAAUUGUUAGCAAAGGCGGCUAAAGAAAAUGAAGAUAAAUCAGAUGAAGAUGUGAAAUCAGUUUUAUAUGAUAGUGUUACAAAAAAAUUUCCAGAUAUUAAAUUAGCUUUAUGCAGAAUAUGUAAUAAGUUAAAAAAAGGUAAUGAUAACACAGUAGGAUCAGUUUUUAUCACAACUUUUAAAAAAAACUUCCCACAUAAAAAAGAUAGAAAUAUGGGUAUGGUUUAUGUUGUUGGACCAAAAGGAAGUAAUUAUUACAAAGCAGAAGACUUUUUGGAAGCUGUUCAUGAUACAGCAGAAAAUUUGAUGACUGCAUUAUGUGAUUAUAAUGGUUUAGUGAAGAGAGAAGAAAUUAAACAUGCAAGAAUGAGUACAUGUAGAAUCUGUUUAUUUUCUG
rnacentral:lncRNA from 1 species